AGGACGAACGCUUGCGGCGUGCCUAAGAAAUGCAAGUCGAGCGGAUGCGAGGACUUCGGUCCUCAAAAUCAGCGGCGAACGGUCGCGUAACACGUAGGCAACCUGCCCCGAAGACCGGGACAACAGGAGGAAACUUCUGCUAAUACCGGAUGUGGUCACUUUCUCACAUGGGAAGGUGAGUAAACCAUGCACAUGGCUUUGGGAGGGCCUGCGGCCUAUCAGCUAGUAGGUGCGGGUAACGGCGCACCAUGGCGACGACGGGUAGCUGGUCUGAGAGGAUGGUCAGCCGGACUGGGACUGAGAUACGGACCCAGACUCCGUACGGGGGCAGGCAAUAGGAAUCUUGCAUAAUUGGGACGAAAGCCUAGAGUGCAGCGCGACCGGCG
rnacentral:rRNA from 1 species